UACAGAGAGUGCAAACGUUGUUCGGAAUUACUGGGCUUAAAGCGCGCGUAGGCUGCAUCGUAAGUGUCUGGUGAAAUCCCACGGCUCACCCGUGGAACUGCCAGGCAUACUGCGGUGCUAGAGUGUGGUAGGGGAGAGCGGAACUCCUGGUGGAGCGGUGAAAUGCGUAGAUAUCAGGAGGAACACCGGUGGCGAAGGCGGCUCUCUGGUCCACAACUGACGCUGAGGUGCGAAAGCUAGGGGAGCAAACGGG
rnacentral:rRNA from 1 species